rnacentral:rRNA from 1 species
GCUACGGGUGGCAGCAGUGGGGGAUAUUGCACAAUGGGGGGAACCCUGAUGCAGCGACGCCGCGUGAGCGAAGAAGUACCUCGGUAUGUAAAGCUCUAUCAGCAGGGAAGAAAAUGACGGGACCUGACUAAGAAGCCCCGGCUAAAUACGUGACAGCAGCCGCGGUAAUACGUAGGGGGCAAGCGUUAUCCGGAUUUACUGGGUGUAAAGGGAGCGAAGGCGGACUGCCAAGUCUGGUGUGAAAACCCGGGGCCCAACCCCGGGCCUGCAUUGGAAACUGGCUGGCUGUAGUGUCGGAGGGGCAGGCGGCAUUCCUAGUGUAGCGGUGAAAUGCGUAGAUAUUAGGAGGACCACCGGUGGCGAAGGCGGCCUGCUGGACGAUGACUGACGCUGAGGCUCGAAAGCGUGGGGAGCAAACAGGAUUAGCUACCCCGGUAGUC